rnacentral:lncRNA from 10 species
AGAUGCUAAGCCUGGAAACCCACAGGAAACAUGUUAUUCUUCAGUAUUUGCAAAGCACUGAUAAAAACAUCUCUCUUCUCUCAAUCUUGCUUCCUUCUUUUCAUUUACUAAAUAGGCUUUUGAGCCUCACAAGACUUUGAGAUUUUAUGGAUAUGAAACCUGCUAUCAUUUAGCAUCCUGCCUCUGGGAAUAGAAGCUGGACUGUACUGCUGCCAUCUCGGCUCACUGCAACCUCCCUGCCUGAUUCUCCUGCCUCAGCCUGCCCAGUGCCUGCGAUUGCAGGCGCGCGUCGCCACGCCUGACUGGUUUUCAUAUUUUUUGGGUGGAGACGGGGUUUCCCUGUGUUGGCCGGGCUGGUCUCCAGCUCCUAACCGCGAGUGAUCCGCCAGCCUCCGCCUCCCGAGGUGCCCGGAUUGCAGACGGAGUCUCCUUCACUCAGUGCUCAAUGGUGCCCAGGCUGGAGUGCAGUGGUGUGAUCUCGGCUCGCUACAACAUCCACCUCCCAGCAGCCUGCCUUGGCCUCCCAAAGUGCCGAGAUUGCAGCCUCUGCCCGGCCGCCACCCCGUCUGGGAAGU